rnacentral:rRNA from 1 species
UACGAACCGUACAAACGUUAUUCGGAAUCACUGGGCUUAAAGGGUGCGUAGGCGGCCAUGUAAGUGAGGUGUGAAAUCCCUCGGCUCAACCGAGGAACUGCGCUUCAUACUGCAUGGCUUGAGGGAGACAGGGGUAAGCGGAACUGAUGGUGGAGCGGUGAAAUGCGUUGAUAUCAAUCAGGAACACCGGGUGGCGAAAGCGGCUUACUGGGUCUCUUCUGACGCUGAGGUACGAAAGCUAGGGUAGCGAACGGG